UUGGCUGCAGGAGGUCAGGCAGCAACAUUGCCUGGCUGUAGGGCUGCUGUGAGCGACCUGGAGGGUUCCUGCUCCCACUCCCCCAUUGGCAUCCCACUGAACACCUUCUUCCUGCAGACACAUGAAGUGAGGCAUGAUGCUUCCAUAAUACACAGGUGUGGAGGAAUUAAAUUUCCCUAUUAUGCUGCAUCAGCCCAACUGCGAGGUAUUUCUACUCACCUUCAUCCAUCUGACUAGUCUUGGCUGAGUCUUACAUUUUAAUAUGGAUGAUCUCUACACUCAUGCUGCACAUGGACUCUAUAAAAAUACAACAUAGUGUCACCUCAGAUGUGCUUCUUUUGAUUGUACCAAUGUUAAGCCAAGAAUGAAAGUGGUCCAGUGUGUUUGUCUCAUACAACAUUAUUUAUUUUAGGGUAUUCUUCAUUAAUAUGUUUUUAAAAUAAACAGGAAACAAUGUUCCUCUCUGUGAUUAUUCCUUUGUUAUGUUUCCCUUUCAUUUGUCCGGUAUGGUUUGUAGUAAAUGCAUCAUACUCUCUGUUAUGUAUGCAUCUUUUCCUCAGAUUAUCUACCUUACUUGAAAGGAAUUAUUCAUUCUCAGCUAAACACAGUCUCUGGGUUUGACAGGUUACAAGAAAUAUUCUUUAUAGUUAUGUAAAUUCAGAAUGACACUAUCAUCUUUAACAGAAUUGUUCAUAAUUUAUCACAGUGUAA